GACGGUCUAGUCCAAUAAUAUUUUUUGAUAAACUUUUUACGUAUAUCAUUAUAAUUUGUAUUGUAAAAUAAAAUGAAGUUCAUCCUCUACUACAUUUUUAUCACACACAAUACAGAUUCUACUAUUUAUACUUAUUCCCUAAAAACGACCAGUUUCAAUGCAUAGAUUAUGUGAGGACAGGCGAAUUCUCGUUAUCCAUUCACGAGCUAUUACAG
rnacentral:lncRNA from 1 species